GAACCGCGCCGCCGCAGGGAACCGCGCCGCGCCCGGCCGCCUAGAGCGCCCGGACCCCGGCUGCCCGCCGUCCUGGCUCCCUGAGCUGCCUGCGAGGCCAUGCGGGGACGGCGUCCAGGCCUCGGCCACUCACCGCCAGCUCCUGCUUCCGCUUCACCAGCUCGGCCAGCUCCCGCCGGGUGUCUGGGAUCUGCGGCGGCGCCGUCUUGUUGUGCAUCGCCAUGUUGGGCUCAAGCGGCGGCGGAGGCGGCGGCGCGCGACCAGUAGGCGGACCCUGCGCACUGCCGCCGCCGGCCGCCAGGGGGCGCGCCCCCAUAUCGCGCCUGCGCGCGCGGCUUCCGGGGAAGCUGGCAGGCUCAGCGCGCG
rnacentral:lncRNA from 1 species